rnacentral:lncRNA from 1 species
CGUGGGGCACGAGCCCAGAGCGAGAAAGGAAUCUGCAAAGUGGAGCAGAGGCAGCCUGCUCUUCUGUGACAGCGCGUUCUCACCAGGACGAGCUCACUUUCAGAUCAGCAUUGCCUGCUUCUGAGGGCAGCUCCCCAAACGACCGAAUUAUGGUGCACCUUCCUCAGAGCCUCCUUUGCUAAGAGUUCCUCCAUCUCUCAAAGCCUCCACACUGGGCACCCAACUUUCCACACACACACCCUUGGGGAACCAACUACAUCCAAACUGUCGCAAUAUGUGUGUUCUUGUACACUACGGUUUUCGUUUCCGAAGCGGAAGAUUCUCAAAGAUUGCGUCGGUGGUGAAGGAGGCGUGGGCAUUCUGAGUGUUAACCCGAAAGGACAGAUGCUGUGUGACACCACCUGGGGACACUCACUCGCUCUGCACACCUCGACGGCCUGAAUUCUGAGGAGGCUCUGGGCUCCACCAGGUCGUCAAAUCUAUGAAUGGUCCAGAAAAGGAAAGAACUUCUGUCCCCACCAAAGACCCUGUGGCCCAACCCAUGAAACUUCCCCUGGAAGGAUUUAAGAGAUGCAAGCUGGCAGAACCUUUUAAUUUCUACAAUUAAAAUAUGAUCAAUAAGGGCUGGGGAUGUAGCUCAAUGGUGCUGCACCUGCUGGCAAGUGUCAGGUCCUGAGUUCGAUUCCUGAUACCAAAAAAAUUAUACAUAUAUAUAUAUAAAAGCAAUAAAUCAG